GAGAGUUGGGAGUAAACAGCCCCGAAUGGAGAGCCGAGGCGUGUUCGCUGCGGAGGCGCCGUUAUCCCGGGCCCGGCGGACCCGAGCUUGAGGCGGCCGCAGCAUCCCUUAUAAUCAAGAGUUGGUCGUGUCGGUGAAAAAAGAGAAAUUCUAAUUUGGUGCUUGUGGAGCCUUUGAAGCACCCAGGGUCCCAUGGGAUCAAGUGGGAUCUCUUCUGGUCCAGAGGUUUUUAGCCUUCUCUUUAAAUUCACGUGUCUUUGACUCCAUUUUCUUUGAUUCUGGCGGAAGUCUUUUGGUUUCCUAUUGCUACUGUGACAAAUUUCUACAAACUUAAUGGCUUAAAACAACACGAAUUGCUUACUUACGGUUCUGGAGGUGCGUCGUCCAGAGUCGGCCUCCCUGGGCUGAAGGUAAGCUGUCGGCAGGGCGUCCGUCCUUCUGGAAGUUCUGAGGGGAGUCUGUUUGCUUCCCUUUUUCAGUUUCCUGAGGUGGCUGCACUCCUUGGCUCCUGACCUCCUCCCCUGCUUACUGCAGCCUCCUGCGUCCAUCACAUCUGCUACUGCCCCC
rnacentral:lncRNA from 1 species